CGAGAGAAGAUACUAAGGCCUGUUGCCACAAACCCGUAGAUCCGAACUUGUGGUGAUAGUGCACACAAGCUUGUGUCUAUAGGUAUGUGUCUGUGGGCGAUCUCACAGACCUCGGGCUCUGCUUGUCU
ensembl:miRNA